AUUGAACGCUGGCGGCAUGCCUUACACAUGCAAGUCGAACGGUAACAGGCCGCAAGGUGCUGACGAGUGGCGAACGGGCGAGCAAUGCAUCGGAACGUGCCCAGUCGUGGGGGAUAACGCAGCGAAAGCUGUGCUAAUACCGCAUACGAUCUAUGGAUGAAAGCGGGGGACCGUAAGGCCUCGCGCGCUUGGAGCGGCCGAUGUCAGAUUAGGUAGUUGGUGGGGUAAAGGCUCACCAAGCCAACGAGCUGUAGCUGGUCUGAGAGGACGACCAGCCACACUGGGACUGAGACACGGCCCAGACUCCUACGGGAGGCAGCAGUGGGGAAUUUUGAACAAUGGGCGCAAGCCUGAUCCAGCAAUGCCGCGUGCAGGAAGAAGGCCUUCGGGUUGUAAACUGCUUUUGUACGGAACGAAACGGUCUGGGUUAAUACCCUGGGCUAAUGACGGUACCGUAAGAAUAAGCACCGGCUAACUACGUGCCAGCCGCCGCCGUAAUAC
rnacentral:rRNA from 1 species